rnacentral:sRNA from 1 species
GAGAGCCUAGUUCGCACCUGCAGCAGAC